GUUUGAGUGUGUGACAAUAAACAGCCUUGGCGAUCUCGGCUCAGAAUAGGCAGUAGACUGUCAAUUGCAUCAAGAAGUAAAUUUCGGAGUUGCAUCUUAGAAAGCAA